AGUGAACGCUGGCGGUAGGCCUAACACAUGCAAGUCGAACGGCAGCACAGUAAGAGCUUGCUCUUACGGGUGGCGAGUGGCGGACGGGUGAGGAAUACAUCGGAAUCUACUUUUUCGUGGGGGAUAACGUAGGGAAACUUACGCUAAUACCGCAUACGACCUACGGGUGAAAGCAGGGGAUCUUCGGACCUUGCGCGAUUGAAUGAGCCGACGUCGGAUUAGCUAGUUGGCGGGGUAAAGGCCCACCAAGGCGACGAUCCGUAGCUGGUCCGAGAGGAUGAUCAGCCACACUGGAACUGAGACACGGUCCAGACUCCUACGGGAGGCAGCAGUGGGGAAUAUUGGACAAUGGGCGCAAGCCUGAUCCAGCCAUACCGCGUGGGUGAAGAAGGCCUUCGGGUUGUAAAGCCCUUUUGUUGGGAAAGAAAAGCAGCAGGUUAAUACCCCGCUGUUCUGACGGUACCCAAAGAAUAAGCACCGGCUAACUUCGUG
rnacentral:rRNA from 1 species